rnacentral:rRNA from 1 species
CGAGACGACGCUGGCGGCGUUGCCUAAUACAUGCAAGUAGAACGCUGAAGGAGGGAGCUUGCUUCUUCUGGAUGAGUUGCGAACGGGUGAGUAACGCGUAGGUAACCUGCCUGAUAGCGGGGGAUAACUAUUGGAAACGAUAGCUAAUACCGCAUAAGAGGUAAUAACACAUGUUAUUGUUUAAAAGGGGCAACUGCUCCACUAUCAGAUGGACCUGCGUUGUAUUAGCUAGUUGGUAAGGUAACGGCUUACCAAGGCGACGAUACAUAGCCGACCUGAGAGGGUGAUCGGCCACACUGGGACUGAGACACGGCCCAGACUCCUACGGGAGGCAGCAGUAGGGAAUCUUCGGCAAUGGGGGCAACCCUGACCGAGCAACGCCGCGUGAGUGAAGAAGGUUUUCGGAUCGUAAAGCUCUGUUGUAAGAGAAGAACGGAUGUGGGAGUGGAAAAUCCAUGUCGUGACGGUAUCUUACCAGAAAGGGACGGCUAACUACGUG